AUUUUAUAUUAAGCGCCAGAACUUAAGAAUGUGCAAGCGUAAUCGAUUAGAUAUUUUCCAGAAAUUUAAUAAAUAAAAUUUCUGGAAAAUAUCUUACUUAAGUUGACGAGGACAAGGAGUAUCGAAAAUUCGGCGGAUACCUUGCGGUAUGGCACUACCGAAAAUAUUGACAAAACCAAGAAGUAAUUUUUGGGACAAUAUCAAUAAGGUGCCUGA
rnacentral:ncRNA from 2 species